UCCGCAGGGUGGCCAUACCAGUGUUUCCUGCCUCCUGCCUUCUACCUGCCUGAAGCCAGUGGGUAGCCACAUCACGGAUCACACCCCAGACAUCCCCAGUCGCGGGCUCCUCACCCUCCAGGUUCCAGUCUUGUCGACUUGAUUCCAGAAAUUCUCUGGCCUCCCUCCCCCACCCAGGCAAGCCGUGUGGUGCAGGCUGGCGACACAGAAGCCCCCUCACUGCCCCUUUGGCUGCUCCAGGUUUCCUCCUUGUAGUCCUCCACCUUCUACUGCACAGACAACGGAUGGACAUGUGACUGUGGCCCUCCUUUGCUCCAUACCCCUCUGGAACCCCCCAUUGUCUGAGGGCAGAGCCUAAAGCACUCAAUCUGGUGUUCAGGGCUCUUGUGUUCAACCUCCAGCUGACCUCCCAGGUCUCACCUUCUCCCACCAAGUACCCAGCAGUCUGGCAGCCCUGAACCGCAGGAGUUUGCAAGCGUCUGUCCCUGCUGUCCUCUGCCUGGAAUGUCCUUGCCCUUGUCUGGCUGGCACCCCCAGUUCUCUCCAUCUUUACAAUGCCCUCUUAGAUGUCCCCACUUGUCUCAGAGCAAGACCCCAACCCACUUCCAUGCCCUGGAAGCACUAAGCACUAGCCCUCUCUUCUCGCUGUGUGAUGGGCGUGGACCUGACCGUGGUGACUGAACCCAUCAGCCUGCCUGAGAAGGAACCAGCCCAGGGGAAGCAGAGAGAGGGACUGGCUUCCUCAGGAAGAAUUAAAAUGCUUGGAUCCAGCCAUGCCUGGAGUUUAUGCUCUGCCUCAUGUUGGAAGCUGGUCUUUGCUUUUUGGAGGCUUCAGACUGACUCAAUGGUCUGAGCAAACUUUGGGAGACAGUGAAGGACAGGCAAGCCGGACGUGCUGCAGUCCAUGGGGUUGCAAAGAGUCAGGCAUGAGCGACUGAACAACAACAAAUAUGGAAAAUGGGACCAGAAGUUGGGUGUUGAGAUGAAUGGAUUCUAUGAUGUGGAACUGGUGAGUCAGGUUGAGUUGCCUUAAACCCAGCUAGAGAAGAAGGAACUCUUGGGUGUUCCCUUCUAUGAGCUGCUAAAUAUACCUUCCACCCACCGCAUCAGGUGAUGCUGACUUUGCUUGCUCGCCACAGAGAAGCCCUGAUGGACCCACCCUGUCCCCCUCCGAAGGCUUUUCUUUUCCUCGUCCAAAUAUCACUGUUCUCCACCUUCCUCUUCUCUCUAUUUUCACUGUUGUAGUUUGGCUACCCCUCCCAUCAACAACCUCAGAUAUGCAGGUUAUACCACUCUAAAGGCAGAAAGUGGAGAGGAGCCUCUUGAUGAGGGUGAAGGAGGAGAGUGAAGAAGCUGGCUUAAAACACAACAUUAAAAAACUAAGAUGAUGGCAUCUGGUCCCAUCACUUCAUGGCAAAUAGAUGGGGAAACAAUGGAAACAGCGAUAGACUCUAUUUUCUUGGGCUCCAAAAUCACUGCAGAUGGUGACUGCAGCCAUAAAAUUAGAAGACGCUUGCUCCUUGGAAGAAAAACUAUGACAAACCUAGACCUGUAUUAAAAAGCAGAGACAUCACUUUGCUGACAAGCGUCUGUCUAGUCAAAACUAUGGUUGUUCCAGUAGUCAUGUACAGAUGUGAGAGUUGGACCAUAAAGAAGGCUGAGCGCUGAAAAGCUGAUGCUUUCAAAUUGUGGUGCUGGAGAAGACUCUUGAGAGGCCCUUGGACUGCAAGGAGAGCAAACCAGUCAAUCCUAAAGGAAAUCAAUCCUGAAUAUUCAUUGGAAGGACCGAUGCUGCAGCUCCAAUACUUUGGCCACCUGAUAAGAGCCGACUCAUUGGAAAAGACCCUGAUGCUGGGAAAGAUUGAGGGCAGGAGAAGGGGAGACAGAGGAUGGGAUGGUUGGAUAUCACAGACUGAAUGGACAUGACUUUGAAAGCACUCCAGGAGACGGUGAAGGACAGGGAAGCCUGGCGUGAGGCAGUCCAUGGGGUUGCAAAGAGUCAGACAUGACUGAGCAACUGAACAACAACAAUAAUAAUGACCGCUGUGUGUCAUUUGACAGGCACUUCCUGUUACACACCAGUUGGGACUGCGAUCAGCUCCACCAAGGUGGAUUCUUUACCCACUCAGCCACCUGGGAAGCCCAUCCUUGGACAUAGGAGCUUUGAACCCAGGCCAAUCCAGCUCCAGGACCCACACACUGACUGCCCAGCAAGGUGUGGGGCACAUGGUAGAUCCCCCAAAUAGAAUGAACCUAUAAGAGCUCCCUGGAUGUGGAGGGCCAGCUGCUGCCAGCUGUGGGGACGGCUGAGUUGCUGAGUCCCCAGCUGAUCUGCAGCUGGAGCACACACUGGCUCAAACUGCCC
ensembl:lncRNA